rnacentral:rRNA from 1 species
UGAGGAGUAUUGCCCAAUGGACGCAAGUCUGAGGCAGCAACGCCGCGUGGGCGAUGAAGGCCUUCGGGUUGUAAAGCCCUUUUCUGGGGGAAGAGGAAGGACGGUACCUCAGGAAUAAGUCACGGCUAACUACGUGCCAGCAGCCGCGGUAAUACGUAGGUGGCAGGCGUUAUCCGGAUUGACUGGGCGUAAAGCGCGUGCAGGCGGUUUCGUAAGUCGGACGUGAAAGCUCCUGGCUUAACUGGGAGAGGUCGUUCGAUACUGCGGGGCUUGAGGUCGGGAGAGGGACGUGGAAUUCCCGGUGUAGUGGUGGAAUGCGUAGAUAUCGGGAGGAACACCAGUGGCGAAGGCGACGUCCUGGCCCGCACCUGACGCUGAGACGCGAAAGCGUGGGUAGCGAACGG